GACGAACGCUGGCGGCGUGCUUAACACAUGCGAGUCGAGCGGUAAGGCCCCUUCGGGGGUACACGAGCGGCGAACGGGUGAGUAACACGUGAGCAAUCUGCCCAUCACAUCGGGAUAACUCCGGGAAACCGAAGCUAAUACCGAAUACGACCACCUCCGGCAUCGGAUGGUGGUGGAAAGUUCCGGCGGUGGUGGAUGAGCUCGCGGCCUAUCAGCUUGUUGGUGGGGUAACGGCCCACCAAGGCUUCGACGGGUAGCCGGCCUGAGAGGGUGACCGGCCACACUGGGACUGAGACACGGCCCAGACUCCUACGGGAGGCAGCAGUGGGGAAUAUUGGACAAUGGGCGGAAGCCUGAUCCAGCAACGCCGCGUGAGGGAUGACGGCCUUCGGGUUGUAAACCUCUUUCAGCAGGGACGAAGCGCAAGUGACGGUACCUGCAGAAGAAGCACCGGCCAACUACGUG
rnacentral:rRNA from 1 species